GUUUUGGGGUAAUUUGUUACACAGCAAUAGCACUCAGGAUUAAGAGCAUAGAGUAUGGUGUUGGACACAAACGGGCAACCACCAGCUGCUGAGGUGCUAUGGCUAUAAUGCUUGUCCACAUUGUGAGAAGCGAAGGACCACAGCAGAUCAAAUUACUCUGAUGCUUAUUUUAGCAUCACAUGCUGACAAGAACGCAGUUGGCUGAAGAUGAACAAAUCUUUCAAGUUAUGUUUUAACAGUAUUUCUGACCACUGUAUCCGGUCAGUUGUCCCAGUGUUCAGCAAUAAAUCAAAAUGACUCUUCA